CAAAUUAGAGCUUGUUAUGAGUAUUUUAGUUACAUUAAAAUGGAAAUUGUUAAGAUCAAUUUAAUUUGA
rnacentral:tRNA from 1 species